ACUCUGAUCCAGCCAUGCCGCGUGCAGGAAGACUGCCCUAUGGGUUGUAAUCUGCUUUUAUACAGGAAGAAACUCCGCUACGUGUAGCUCUUUGACGGUACUGUACGAAUAAGGACCGGCUAACUCCGUGCCAGCAGCCGCGGUAAUACGGAUGGUCCGAGCGUUAUCCGGAAUCAUUGGGUUUAAAGGGUCCGUAGGCGGGCGUUUAAGUCAGAGGUGAAAGUCUGCUGCUCAACUGUAACAUUGCCUUUGAUCUGAUCUCUUGGGUUAUUGUGAAGUGAGAGGAAUGUGUAGUGUAGCGGUGAAAUGCAUAGAUAUUACAUACAAUACCGAUUCCCAAGGGCAGAGGCGA
rnacentral:rRNA from 1 species